rnacentral:lncRNA from 1 species
CUUUUUGCCAUUACAUAUAAUGUCGCUGUGAGCAUUCUUGGGAACUGUAUGGCACAUUCUCUGUCUCAAGGACAUACUCAGAGGGCAUUCUUGGGCCGUCAAUCAGGAGCAUCUUCAGUUUUAUCAGAAACCAAGUUGUUUUCCAAAGUGUUUACAACAAAUUAAUCCCCAACACUACAAGCUUCCCACACUUGUCAAGAUUGGAGUUGUCAGACUUUCAGAUUUUCAUCUGAUGUGUAUUAAACAAUAUCUCAUUCUGGUUUUUCAUUCUUAUCUCCCUGGUGAUGAACAAGGUAUCACAUCUUUUCAGUUUACUGAUCAUUCAAGUUUCCUCCUCUGUGCAAUGUCUAUUUAUGUAUUUUGCCCUUUUAAAAAUUGGGUUGUUUUUCUCAUUCUUACUGUUUUACAGGGUUUUAUUUACAUAUAUUUGGAAUACUAGUCCUUUGUUGGUUGUAUGUAUUACAACAUCUUCUUUCUGUUUGUGUUUCGUCUUUCAUCUUUAUGGUCUUUU